UCAUUAUAUACACACACUGUAAAUAAAUAUUCAAUUAAUAUAAUUUUUUUAGGAUCUAAUUUUAUUUAGAAAUUUACCAGUAGCUGCAUUUCCCACCCUAGUCUUAUACUCGGGUCAAUAAGUUUUCCCAGUUUUUGGGGGUAAAAUUAGGGGCCUCGGCUUAUAUUCGGGUCGGCUUAUACUCGAGUAUAUACGGUAAGUAUGUAAUUACAUUUUCCAUAUUGCUGGCUAAUCAUGGCAGCAUCACUUAUGGAUAAUACCAAAGCAAAAAAACAUUGGAAGGGAGGAAAAACAAGUUGAAUUGAAUAGACAGAAGACUCUGAUUGCUGCAAAGGAAACCUAAGUUUUUUUAUGAGCAUUAACAGCCAACAAGACUUCUCUGCCAAAUGAAGUAGUCUUAGAAUGAAUGUCCAGUUUGUAGUUCUUAAUGAAGGAUGUAGGAGUGGACCAAGUAGCUGCCCUGCAGCAGUCAUCCGGAGGAACCUCUGCACAACUAGCCCAAGACGUAGCCAGGGACCUGGUGGAGUGAGCGCUGAUUCUGGCUGGACGAGUCAUCUUCUAUCACAGGUAGGAGUCUGUUAUGAUAGAAGCUAUCCAUCUCUGUAAGGUAGAGGAAGACACCGCUUCACCCUUAUGAAGGCCAGAAGGAAGGACAAACAAUUUGUUGUUCUUUCUGAAGACAGAAGUAACCGAUGGGUACUUGAUUAUAAGCUCUCACACAUAGGGUUCAUGGUAUCGCUUUUCCUCGGGAGAAGACGGGAAAGUAAAGGAGGAAGGGAGAACCACCUCCUAGAGUAGAUAAAAUCUAGAUACGACUUUACG